ensembl:antisense uncharacterized LOC110330662
UGUAAGUGCCGGCUUUCCUUGACUGAUGGUUCCGGGAAAAAAAAUUAUUCACUGACUGGAAAUUGGUUGCUAGCUUUGAGAAAAGAAGCAUUUACUGCUUGGGGGAUUUAAGAUGGGGUCCCAAAACUGUCAUCCCUAUUCUUGUCAAAUGAUUGCAUAUUUUAGGAGAUGGAUACAUCUUUGUUCAUAUAGACAACAAUUCCUAACAAAUCCGAAGAAGACCAAGCUUCUGUGCACACAGUUUGCAGUCUUGUGGGCCUCAUGGAUGCAGCCCUUGCCUCCUCAGCACAGACUCCUCAAUCAUGACAUGAGGUGAUAAGCUUUCAGCAUCCAUCUUUGACUGGAACCAUUCGAGUGACAAGAGAGAUAAUUACAAUGGAGAGAAACCCAAUCGAAAACCUGGCUUCAUCAUCUGGGAUGCAGACAAUGCACUGCAAUAGCCCAGUGCCUCCGUGAAGGCUCUAUUUCACAUCCCAACAACACGGAACAAAUUGCACAAACGCAAGGAAUUAGAUCCCUUGGUAACAAACAUUGAAGUCACUUUUUAAAAUGUCACCAAAUGGCUCUGUUAACUCUGUUUUGUAACAAGUGAGAGGCAGAUGGCACUUUGAAGUGUAUGAUGCAUCUUGGAAGAGCAGAAUUGCUCAGGCAUUUUUGUCUGGUUUGCCAAGAUGAAGCGACAAUGCCCCAGAUGAAAGGCGCUUGGCAUGCUCUCACACAAGAGGCUGGGUACCAUUGAGUAUCACACUGUUCGCUGUAAGUUGGGUUUCCUGAGGCUUACAAACUUGCAGAAUGAAAGGUGCAACACAACAGGUGUUGGGGGGAGAAGGUUCCUAUCUUCUGACUGCCUACUAUGCAUUUCAUGUAGUUGGUGACAAUUAUACAGCUUAUUUAAUUCUCUGCAAUU